AACGAACGCUGGCGGCGUGGAUUAGGCAUGCAAGUCGAACGAGAAUCUGGAGGUUCAAGUUUUCGGACAAGAACUUUCGGAGGAAAGUGGCGGAAGGGUGAGUACAACAUGGAUAAUCUACCUUCAAGUUGGGUAUAGCUUCCCGAAAGGGGAGAUAAUCCCGAAUGUGGUGAUCCGGCGCCUGUCGGAGAAUCCAAAGGUGGGGACCGCAAGGCCUGCCGCUUGAAGAUGAGUCCGUGCACUAUCAGCUAGUUGGUGAGGUAAUGGCUCACCAAGGCGAUGACGGUUAGCUGGUCUGAGAGGAUGGUCAGCCACACUGGGACUGAGAUACUGCCCAGACUCCUACGGGAGGCUGCAGUCGAGAAUCAUUCGCAAUGGGCGCAAGCCUGAUCCAGCCAUUCCGCGUGCAGGAUGAAGGCCUUCGGUUGUAACUGCUUUGUACGGUAACGAAACGGUCGUGCCCUAAUACGGCGGGCGUAAUGACGGUACCGUAAG
rnacentral:rRNA from 1 species